UACUGGGCGUAAAGCGCACGUAGGCGGCUUUGUAAGUCAGAGGUGAAAGCCUGGAGCUCAACUCCAGAACUGCCUUUGAGACUGCAUCGCUUGAAUCCAGGAGAGGUGAGUGGAAUUCCGAGUGUAGAGGUGAAAUUCGUAGAUAUUCGGAAGAACACCAGUGGCGAAGGCGGCUCACUGGACUGGUAUUGACGCUGAGGUGCGAAAGC
rnacentral:rRNA from 1 species